UCUAGAACAGGAAAACAGUGGAGAGGAGUCCGCUAAGAGUGGAUGAGCUGGAAGAAUUGGAAGCCCUUGGGUUGAAGAGAGAGGAUCGGGAGCAUGUGUUGGAAACUAGAAGCUAAUCUGGGCUCCUUACCGUCAGUCUCUGGAAGGGAAAGCACCACAGCAAUCCACCCUGAGUGCGUCUGUCCCCAUUGGAGUUCUUGGGCUGGAGGCUCUCACCUUCAUGAAGGUGCAGGAAGAGGCUCUCUGGCUUCAUCUCUCUCGGCUCUGAAGGCUUGGAGGCUGGAGGAAGGAAGAACAAGUCAGGCAAUUUUGAGAGGUCCUUUCCUGAUCCUAAGCAAAAGAUGGAGAGGCCAUGGGGCUGAGAAUGGAGAAAGACCACUGUGUGGGAGCACUCCCUGACGUGCUCUCCCACACCAACCUUGAUCAACUAUCUCUCGGUGUCCCUCUCCUGCCCCACUGUGAGAAUGUCCAUAAAAAGAAGUCUCACAAGUCAACUGGUGAUGAGCUAUUUGGAGGCAGGCUCCUCAGCAACCGCUACCCCACCCCGACUCACCUCCUGC